rnacentral:piRNA from 1 species
UAAUGUCAGAGGGAGGGGUGGGACCAU